UCCUCCCUCUGGCGGCGUGCUUAACACAUGCAAGUCGAACGGAAAGGCCCCUUUGGGGGUACUCGAGUGGCGAACGGGUGAGUAACACGUGAGUAACCUGCCCUUGACUUCGGGAUAACUUCAGGAAACUGGGGCUAAUACCGGAUAGGAAUCCUUGCUGCAUGGUGGGGGUUGGAAAGCUUCGGCGGUUUUGGAUGGACUCGCGGCUUAUCAGCUUGUUGGUGGGGUAGUGGCUUACCAAGGCUUUGACGGGUAGCCGGCCUGAGAGGGCGACCGGCCACAUUGGGACUGAGAUACGGCCCAGACUCCUACGGGAGGCAGCAGUGGGGAAUAUUGCACAAUGGGCGGAAGCCUGAUGCAGCAACGCCGCGUGCGGGAUGACGGCCUUCGGGUUGUAAACCGCUUUCAGCAGGGGCGAAGCUUGUGGUGACGGUACCUGCAGAAGAAGCACCGGCUAACUACGUG
rnacentral:rRNA from 1 species